rnacentral:tRNA from 1 species
GGGCGGAUGUAGCCAAGUGGCUCAAGGCGGUGGAUUGUGAAUCCACCAUGCGCGGGUUCAAUUCCCGUCGUUCG